rnacentral:rRNA from 1 species
AUUGAACGCUGGCGGCAGGCCUAACACAUGCAAGUCGAGCGGAGCGGCGGACGGGCGAGUAAUGCCUAGGAAUCUGCCUGGUAGUGGGGGAUAACGUCCGGAAACGGGCGCUAAUACCGCAUCCUAUCAGUUGAGCCUAGGUCGGAUUAGCUAGUUGGUGGGGUAAAGGCCUACCAAGGCGACGAUCCGUAACUGGUCUGAGAGGAUGAUCAGUCAAACUGGAACUGCGACACGGUCCAAACUCCUACAGGCGGCAGCAGUGGGGAAUAUUGGACGAUGGGCGAAAGCCUGAUCCAGCCAUGCCGCGUGUGUGAAGAAGGUCUGCGGAUUGUAAAGUGCUUUAAGUUGGGAGACGUUACCAACAGAAUAAGCACCGGCUAACUACGUGCCAGCAGCCGCGGUAAUAC